rnacentral:rRNA from 1 species
CCUUGUACACACCGCCCGUCACACCAUGGGAGUGGGUUGCACCAGAAGUAGAUUGUCUAACCUUAGGGGGGACGUUUACCACGGUGUGAUUCAUGACUGGGGUG